AGCAGCCGCGGUAAUUCCAGCUCCAAUAGCGUAUAUUAAAGUUGUUGCAGUUAAAAAGCUCGUAGUUGAAUUUCGGGAUCAAAUUGUUGGUCGUGCCUCGGUACGCACUGGUAUUAUUGGUUCCUACCUUCUGAAGAACCGCGAUGUCAUUAAUUUGGUGUCGUGGGGAAUCAGGACUGUUACUUUGAAAAAUUAGAGUGUUUAAAGCAGGCUUACGCUUGAAUACAUUAGCAUGGAAUAAUGAAAUAGGACGUUUGAUUCUAUUUUGUUGGUUUCUAGGAUUGACGUAAUGAUUAAUAGGGAUAGUUGGGGGCAUUAGUAUUCAAUUGUCAGAGGUGAAAUUCUUGGAUUUAUUGAAGACUAACUACUGCGAAAGCAUUUUGCCAAGGAUGUUUUCAUUAAUCAAGAACGAAAGUUAGGGGAUCGAAGACGAUCAGAUACCGUCGUAGU
rnacentral:rRNA from 1 species